AUGAACGCUGGCGGCGUGCCUAAUCCCUGCAAGUCGCGCGCACAGACGAGGAGCUUGCUCCUCUGACGUUAGCGGCGGACGGGUGAGUAACACGUGGAUAACCUACCUAUAAGACUGGGAUAACUUCGGGAAACCGGAGCUAAUACCGGAUAAUAUAUUGAACCGCAUGGUUCAAUAGUGAAAGACGGUUUUGCUGUCACUUAUAGAUGGAUCCGCGCCGCAUUAGCUAGUUGGUAAGGUAACGGCUUACCAAGGCAACGAUGCGUAGCCGACCUGAGAGGGUGAUCGGCCACACUGGAACUGAGACACGGUCCAGACUCCUACGGGAGGCAGCAGUAGGGAAUCUUCCGCAAUGGGCGAAAGCUUGACGGAGCAACGCCGCGUGAGUGAUGAAGGUCUUCGGAUCGUAAAACUCUGUUAUUAGGGAAGAACAAAUGUGUAAGUAACUAUGCACGUCUUGACGGUACCUAAUCAGAAAGCCACGGCUAACUACGUG
rnacentral:rRNA from 1 species